AGCAGCCGCGGUAAUUCCAGCUCCAAUAGCGUAUAUUAAAGUUGUUGCAGUUAAAAAGCUCGUAGUUGAAUUUUGGAUUCUUCCAAUUGGUCCAUCUUUUAGAUGAGUACUGGUUGUGUGGGGUCUAUCCGCCUGGUAAUACGUAAUGUCCUUUAUUGGAUGUUGCGGGUAGUCAGGACCUUUACCUUGAAAAAUUAGAGUGUUUAAAGCAGGCUUAUGCCGGAAUACAUUAGCAUGGAAUAAUAGAAUAGGACGAAGUUGUUUUAUUUUGUUGGUUUCUAGGACAACCGUAAUGAUUAAUAGGGAUAGUUGGGGGCAUUAGUAUUCAAUUGUCAGAGGUGAAAUUCUUGGAUUUAUUGAAGACUAACUACUGCGAAAGCAUUUGCCAAGGAUGUUUUCAUUAAUCAAGAACGAAAGUUAGGGGAUCGAAGACGAUCAGAUACCGUCGUAGUCUUAACCAUAAACUAUGCCGACUAGGGAUCGGGCGAUGUUGUUUCCAUGACUCGCUCGGCACCUUAUG
rnacentral:rRNA from 1 species